rnacentral:rRNA from 1 species
UACGUAGGUGGCAAGCGUUGUCCGGAUUUACUGGGCGUAAAGAGCGCGCAGGCGGUCGGAUUAGUCGCGUGUGAAAGCCCCCGGCUUAACUGGGGAGGGUCACGCGAUACUGUUCGACUCGAAGGCAGGAGAGGGAAGUGGAAUUCCCGGUGUAGUGGUGAAAUGCGUAGAUAUCGGGAGGAACACCAGUGGCGAAGGCGACUUCCUGGCCUGUUCUUGACGCUGAGGCGCGAAAGCUAGGGUAGCAAACGGG